AGCGAACGCUGGCGGCAGGCCUAACACAUGCAAGUCGAGCGCCCCGCAAGGGGAGCGGCAGACGGGAGAGUAACACGUGGGAACGUACCCUUCAGUUCGGAACAACCCAGGGAAACUUGGGCUAAUACCGGAUACGUCCGUAAGGAGAAAGAUUUAUCGCUGAAGGAUCGGCCCGCGUCUGAUUAGCUAGUUGGUGAGGUAACGGCUCACCAAGGCGACGAUCAGUAGCUGGUCUGAGAGGAUGAUCAGACUCACUGGGACUGAGACACGGCCCAGACUCCUACGGGAGGCAGCAGUGGGGAAUAUUGGACAAUGGGCGCAAGCCUGAUCCAGCCAUGCCGCGUGGAUGAUGAAGGCCCUAGGGUUGUAAAGUCCUUUCGACGGGGAAGAUAAUGACGGUACCCGUAGAAGAAGCCCCGGCUAACUUCGUGCCAGCCGCCGCCGUAAAAC
rnacentral:rRNA from 1 species